AGCUUGCUCCCUGAUGUUAGCGGCGGACGGGUGAGUAACACGUGGGUAACCUGCCUGUAAGACUGGGAUAACUCCGGGAAACCGGGGCUAAUACCGGAUGCUUGAUUGAACCGCAUGGUUCAAUUAUAAAAGGUGGCUUUUAGCUACCACUUACAGAUGGACCCGCGGCGCAUUAGCUAGUUGGUGAGGUAACGGCUCACCAAGGCAACGAUGCGUAGCCGACCUGAGAGGGUGAUCGGCCACACUGGGACUGAGACACGGCCCAGACUCCUACGGGAGGCAGCAGUAGGGAAUCUUCCGCAAUGGACGAAAGUCUGACGGAGCAACGCCGCGUGAGUGAUGAAGGUUUUCGGAUCGUAAAACUCUGUUGUUAGGGAAGAACAAGUACCGUUCGAAUAGGGCGGUACCUUGACGGUACCUAACCAGAAAGCCACGGCUAACUACGUGCCAGCAGCCGCGGUAAUACGUAGGUGGCAAGCGUUGUCCGGAAUUAUUGGGCGUAAAGCGCGCGCAGGCGGUUUCUUAAGUCUGAUGUGAAAGCCCCCGGCUCAACCGGGGAGGGUCAUUGGAAACUGGGGAACUUGAGUGCAGAAGAGGAGAGUGGAAUUCCACGUGUAGCGGUGAAAUGCGUAGAGAUGUGGAGGAACACCAGUGGCGAAGGCGACUCUCUGGUCUGUAACUGACGCUGAGGCGCGAAAGCGUGGGGAGCGAACAGGAUUAGAUACCCUGGUAGUCCACGCCGUAAACGAUGAGUGCUAAGUGGUUAGAGGGUUUCCGCCCUUUAGUGCUGCAGCAAACGCAUUAAGCACUCCGCCUGGGGGAGUACGGUCGCAAGACUGAAACUCAAAGGAAAUUGACGGGGGCCCGCACAAGC
rnacentral:rRNA from 1 species